rnacentral:lncRNA from 1 species
GAAUAAGAUCAGUUGUACCAGUGUGCUCGGCUCCACCACCACGAAAAACACCAAGUUUCAACCAGGACAAAGACAAAAAGGAUAAUGUUUCAGAGGAUGUUUCAACUGCAACUUCGGAACUCAAUAAGCUUAGCAUGUAGAGGGAGAGCUGUUUCAUCUUUUCUUGAAGUAGUUAGAAUAAAUAAAAUAGUUGCUUGCUAAAAUCUGUAUAAAACUGAAAAUUCAUAUUUUUAAUUUAAGAUUGGCUCUAAUUACUAUAAUAAUUAUUAUAAUAGUGAGGGUUAAAAUGUAAAUUUGUCACUACACUACCAAUGAAUAUUGAAAUUGGUCACUAUACUUUAUUUUGAUUAAUAUUUGCCAUUAUAUAUUAAAAAUAUAAUUAAAUUUGCCACCCGACUUUUAUGUGAUUCAAUUUUAUUAUUAAACUUGAAUUUUAUUGAAUUUUACCACUAAUCUUGAUUUUUUAAUUAAAACUUAUCAAUUAAUAUUGAUUUUGAUGAUUUGAAAGUAGGUUUUUUUAAAAAUAUAUUAUUUCAAAUAUUUUAUUUUAGUAAUUAACAAAUUAAUUUAUAAAAUAUUAAAAUAUUAUAAAUUAACAUAGAAUUUUUAUUUAAUAAAAGAAAGACUUGUAAAAUAAAAAACAAAAAAGAUUUAAGUUUAUUUUUUAUAAGUAAAUGUUUUUAUUAAUGCUUGAUGCUAUAUUAAUUUAUUAUUUUUAAGUAUUAAAUUAUAAUCUUAAUUUUUAUUAAAAUUUUCAUCUAAAUAUAACUAAAUUAAAAUUGAAUUGUAAAAUUCAAUAAAAAAUCAAAUUUUAGUGACAAAUUAAAUAAAACAAAAGUGAAGUGGCAAAAUUCAAAAUAGAACUAAAAUAUAGGGAUAAUUUUAUCUUUUGUUAUAAAAUAAAUACAUAGAGAAAAUAAAGAUGAGAGAGCGUAUUUUCUUGAUUUUCCAGAUAGGUAUAAAAAGUAUAAAUAAAGUAGAGAUCUUCUUCUAGAAUUUAAAGUUGAUCAAAACUUAUUUUGAUCAUGAUGGACAUCUACUUAAGAUAUUUAUAAUGUCUUUAACUUAAAAGUACAACCAUAAAUAUCAAUAAAAAAAUAUAAUAAAAAUUUUCAACAUUUAACAUAAAGUAUAGUACACAUUAACCCUAAUAAUAAUCAUCAUCUUCUUUUUGCUCCCAAAAAGACUUAUCUGGUUAUGCAUGAUGUAUCAUAAAAGUAAAGUUUUCUCAUCCUAAAAAUCUCAUGCAUAUAUUUGGUUAGAUUUAAUUUAACAAUUUGGUUAUGGAUUUGAAUUACAUUUAUGUUACUUUUAUAUAUUAUAAUUAUAUUUAAGAUAUUAUAUAUAAACGUGUUCAUGAGUUAGGUCGGGCCGAGUUUGGGCGGGGUCUAAGAAUAAUAUUAACAUACUUUAGGCUUGCCUAAGUCUGGUCCGGCCCAAAAUCUGGGUCUAAAAUUUUGUCCAAAUCUGCCCAUAUUUGCAAAAGAGUAACCUAAGCUCAUUUUAAGUUCAUCCAUAUUAUUUUUUAAUUUUUUAAAAUAUUUAUUUUAUUUUAUUUUAAUAUUUAAUAAUUUUAUAUAUUUUUAUUGAAAUUUUAUAUAUAGUCAUCUUAACAUUAUUUUAAUAUUUACAUUAGAGUUGUAUUAUAUAUUUAGUAUAGGUUUGUUUUUUUAAUGUGAUCUAAAUUACAUAAUAUAUAAAGAUAACAUACUAUAAACUAAAAACAAAAGAGAAGUAAGUAUGUAUUAAUAAGAUAAUAAGGCUUGCCUUCUCUGGCACGUCUCUAUCUGCCUUCUCUAGUAGGGUUUUGUUUUAUUGUUUUUUCAAUCUAUUGAUUUAGCGGCGGCAGCUGGUUCUUUCGUUUUAUUUUGCUUUUGUGAUUUGGUGUUUUGGUUCGCAUACGUCUACAAUUAUGGAGACAGAGUUUGCUGGGCUGAAGAUUAAUGAGGAAGAAGAAGAAAUCUUACAGUUUCAAUUUGAGCCAAGAACAGAAACAGAGGUAGAGACUUUUAAAUUAGUGGGAUGUUUUUUAACUACUAGCACUAUUCACUUUCCAGCGAUGAAGAGCACAAUGGCCAAUCUAUGGCAUCAGUUCGGGGGGUGCAAAUUCGAGAUCUAGGAGGGAAAAAAAUUUCUAUUUCAGUUUUUCCAUGUUAUGGACAUAAAGAGGGUGUUUAAGGGGUCCCCGUGGACAUUCAAUAAUCAUCUACUGCUUCUACAUAAGUUGCAACUGACGGAGGAUCCAUUAAUUGUUCCUUUGAUCUAUACCCCUUUUUGGGUACAAAUUCAUGAUAUUCCUGCAGGUUUUUUUUCAGAAAGGCUAGCAAUUCAAUUGGGAAACUUUAUAGGCACUCAUAUGGAGUAUGAUGGAUCAAAUCUGGAAAAAGAAAACCGAAAUUUUAUGAGAAUCAGAGUUCAAAUUGAUGUAAGAUACCCUCUAAAAAGGAAGAAACAGAUCUUAUUUUUGGCAAAUGUUCAUAUGUCAAAUUUAGAUACGAAUGACUAUCUCUUUUUUACUUCUAUUGUGGGUGAUUGGGACAUAGCGACUCAUUUUGUGAAGCGAAGAUGGCAUUAGGAGUGGAAGUUAGGGAGAUGGGAUGGGAUCUAUCUUUAAGAGCUCAAUCUCGAAGAGCUCUAGCAAUGAAUAGCGUUUGGUUGCGAGAAGAUGAAGAAGAUUGGGGUGGAAAUAAAGAAUAGCUUCAAGUAUUAGAAUCUAGUACGAGAGAUUUAAGGAGAAUCUUGGGACAAAACAGAAAUAUAGAUCCAAUAUUAGAAUUUAAUCUGGAAGGACAAUCAUUGAUAUUCAAAAAGGGUGAAACUUUGUAUACUUUGAUGGAUCAUGAUUUAGAGGAUAGGGUGUUUUCUGUGGAGGAAGGGAAGAAGAGAGCAAGGGGGGAGAUUGAAGACGUUCUUGCCAAGGAAGAGAAUAGCACUUUGGAGUUAAGGAACCGAAGAGUUAGAGAUGCUAAUAUUGUUAUAUCGGCGGCUGCCAAGAGGCAAGCUGACCGGUCACAAUGAAAAUCUUAAGCUGAAAUGUCCGGGGUUUGGGGAGCCCACGGACAGUGCAUAGACUUUAGCAUUGGCUGAGGUUAUACAGUCCCCAUAUAGUCUUCUUUAUGGAGACAAAGAUUGACAGAAGGAGAAUGGAGCAAAUUCGAAGAAGGUGUGGUUUCCUCAAUGGAAUUGAAGUGGACGCAACAGGAUCUCGAGGUGGAUUAUGUAUGGCUUGGCGUGGGGAUAUCAGUAUCAGACUUCAAAGCUAUUCCAAAAGUCAUAUUGAUGUGCUAAUUGAGGACGCAGAUGGGGAAAAGAAUUAGAGAUUUACAGGAUUUUAUGGUUCUCCUUAUUCGAAUAAAGAAGAAUCAUGGAACUUGCUGAGACAAUUGAGUAAUGUAAGGGAGUUGCCUUGGAUGGUUUGUGGUGACUUUAAUGAAAUUUUAUAUGGCUUUGAAAAAAAGGGGGGUUUACCUCGAGAGGAAAGGAGAAUGGAAGCUUUUAGAACGGUUUUAGAGGAUUGCAAUCUUAGGGACAUGGGAGUCUCUGAAAGAUGGUUCACUUGGGAAAGAGGAAAUCUGCCAGAAACAAAUAUUCGAGAACGAUUGGAUAGGGGAGUGGCUACGGAAGAAUGGAUUUCUUUGUUCCCGAAAUUUCAAAUUAGACAUAUGUCUCACUCUGUUUCAGAUCAUUGUCUGUUGCUCAUUACUACCAAGCAAGAGGAUAAGAAAAAAAUUGAUAGAGGUUUUAGAGUGCUGGAGGACAGUUUCUUUUAUGAAGUUCAAAGUAUUUUUAGGGAACGACCAAAGGUGACGUGCUAAGCAAGAUGGAAAGUUUGAAGAGAGGUAUUAUAAAAUAGGCUGAUAAGAUACAAAAUAGCAGGAAAGGGAAGAAAAUGAUGUUAAUCUUAAAACUGGUAGUUUGGAGGAGAAUGAAAGAAAUGAUGAAAAUUUGAUAGAGCUCAUUGACACAAAAAUUCAACUUAAUUUUGAGAUUGAAAAAGAUGAAUGCUAUUGGGAACAAAGGGCGCGGGUUAAUUGGCUGAAAUUUGGGGACAAAAAUACAGCGUUCUUUCAUAAACAGGCAACCUAGAAACGUCAAAAAAAUUUUAUCAGCAGAAUGGAAUCAGAUGAUGGUAAGGAAACAGAAGAUAUUUCAGAAAUUGAGGAUAUUACUAGGUUGUAUUUCCAAAAGCUAUUCUCAGCUGGGAGGAGGGGAAAUUACAACAGAAUUCUGGCAGGAAUUAAGCAAUGUAUCUUCGAUGAGGACAAUCUGACAUUGAAGGCAAAGUACACAAAAGAAGAGAUCUGUGAGGCAUUUUCAGAGUUAGACUCAACAAAAGCACCAGAAGAGGAUGGAUUCCCAGCAAUAUUCUACCAAAAAUGCUGGUCUAUUAUCGGAGAGGAAGUUUCAUCAUUCUGCCUUAAUCUACUGAAUGGAGGUAUGGAUGUCAGCUCAAUAAACAAAACGAAUAUAAUUUUAAUUCCUAAAAUUCCUAAUCCUAUGAAUAUCAUCAAUUUUAGACCAAUCAGUUUAUGUAAUGUGCUUUAUAAAUUGUUGGCCAAAGUUAUUGCAAACUGUCACCGUCUCGUGAUGAAUAGAUGUAUUGAUUUAGCUCAAAGUACUUUUGUUCCUGGGAGACAAAUUAGCGAUAACGUUUUAUUAGCCUAUGAAGUUCUUCACUCUUUGAAGAAUAAAAGAAUAGGAAAAAAAAAGGGCUUAUGGCAGUGAAACUAGACAUGAGUAAGGCAUAUGACAGGGUUGAAUGGUGCUUUGUUGAAAAAAUAAUGAAGAAAUUAGGGUUUGAUUCAGAGUGGGUUGACAAGUUGAUGAAAUGUGUUUCAACAAUAUCAUAUUCAGUGGUUCUCAAUGGCGUCAAUGGAGAAAGUUUUUUCCCGUCUAGAGGCCUUAGACAAUGAGAUCCUUUGAGUCCAUUUUUAUUUCUGUUUUGUGGAGAAGGACUUUCUAGUAUUCUAAGGCAAGCAAUGGAAGGAAAUUUAAUUCGAGGAGUGAAAGUUAGUAGAAAUGGUCCGCAGAUUUCACACUUGUUAUUCGCGGAUGAUUGCAUUCUGUUUGGAGAAGCCACAGAGAGAGGAGCUACUGUUUUGAAGAAUAUCUUAAAGGAAUAUGAGCUCAGUUUUGGCCAAUGUGUUAAUUAUAAUAAAUCCACAAUCUUCUUCAGUACAAAUACGCAAAAGGAAGAAAAAAGAGUUAUUGUUCGAAUGCUCGGUGUUCGUAGAUCGAAUAAUCUAGAAAGGUAUUUAGAACUUCCAAAUUUAGUGGGCAGAAGAAAGAAAGCAGCUUUUCAAAGCUUGAAGGACAGAUUAAAACAAAGAAUUGAUAACUGGAGUGUUAAAUACCUCUCUCAAGGUGGAAAAGAGGUUUUUAUUAAGGCAGUAUUACAAUCAGUUCCAACUUAUUCUAUGGCGUGUUUUUUACUUCCUAAGUCUCUUUGUAACGAGUUGGAAGGUAUAAUAGCCAGAUUCUGGUGGGGGGAAAAUCGGGGAAAGAAGGGGAUCCAUUAGUGUGCGUGUAAAGAUGUGUAUGUCUUGAAAGAAGCAGGUGGCCUUGAUUUUAGAAAACUUGAUAAAUUUAAUAUCGCAUUAUUAGCUAAACAGGGUUGAGUCUUAUUAAUUUUCCAGAUUCUUUGUUAGCCCGAGUAUUGAAAGCUAAAUAUUAUCUGAAUCCGUGUUUUCUAACGGCUCAAUUAGGAAAUUUACCUUCGCUCACCUGGAAAAGUAUCUGGUUGGCAAAAGGUAUUCUUGAAAAAGGUCUCUGCUAGAAGGUUGGCAAAGGGGAUCGUAUUUCUGUUUGGGAGGACCUCUGGAUUUCGGGCAAUGAAGACGACAGAUUGCAAAAUCAUCAGAGAGAUGGAAAUAUUAAGUUAGUUUCGGAUUUGAUUGAUGUAGAUAGAAGAGAGUGGAAAGCUGAUAUAAUUUCUUUUACCUUCAAUGCGAAAGUUGUUAAAAAGAUCUUGCAAAUUCCAUUGGCAGCGACAGCAAAUGAAGAUUUCCAAGUCUGGAGAGGAGAACCCUCUGGCAAUUUUUCAGUUCGGAGCGCCUACAAACUAUUAUAGGAGGGUACUCAAAAUCUUAUUAAUUUACAAACCGAGACUAAAUUUUUUUACAAAAAACUAUGGAAUUUACAAAUUCCUCCGAAAAUCAAAGUUACAAUAUGGGGAAUCUCUUGGAAUUACAUUCCUACUUUUGCUAAUCUGAAGAUCAAACGAACAGUUGUAGAUGCUCGAUGUCCUCGAUGCAAACUGGAAGAGGAGGACUGUAAUCAUAUUUUUCGUGGAUGCUCUACAACAAAAGAAGUUUGGAGACUCACACAAUUAUCAUGGAUACUUAUUAAUACUCAAGAUACUUUUUGGAAUUGGCUUACAUGGGUUUUUAGUCGCGGGACAAACGAACAGUGCUGACUUUUCUGUUGCGGGCUUUGGAUCAUCUGGACAAGCAAGAACAAUUUGUUUACGAAAACAGGUAAACAACAAGCAGGGAUAUCUCUCAUAAAAUGUCAGAUUUUCUCUUUGAGCUAAGAGGAAUCGAGGAGAAGAAACUUAACUUGGCAGGAAAUGGUGUCCUGCGAACUGUUGAGAGAUGUACGAGAAUCUCAGUCUACUUUGAUGCGGCCUUUGAUCAGCAAAAUGCAAGAUCUGCUUCGGGACUGAUUGUUCGAGGCCAGGGUGGGGAGAUUUUGGUCUCAAAGUCAGUAAUCCAUACCAACAUUACAACUCCAUUCGCGGUAGAAGCACAUGCAGGGUUACAAGCCUUAGAGUUAGGAAGAUCUAUGGGGCUUAAAGAUUUACAAAUAAUGGGAGAUUCGAAAACGAUUAUCAAAAAGUGUCAAAGUUCAGAACAAGACAGAUCGGUCAUCAGAGCAAUCAUCAAAGAUAUUCAAGAGAUUAAAACCAAUUUUAAUAGUAUCUGUUUUUGUUAUAUUCUGAGAACUGAUAAUAUUUUUGCCCAUUUGGUUGCAAUAGAAGCUUUAAAGAAGGGAGAAGAACAUUACCUGGCUGGGGCGAUUCCAAAUACCGUCCGACAAACAGCGGAGAGGAUGAAUCCAAGAUAUUAAGAUUAAGAGCAAAAAGGUGAUUGUUGGAAGGAGUAGCAAACGGCAAAAAAGAUUUGGGGAAAUCUGCUACUAUUAAUGGCUGGGUCGGUGAUGGGAAAUGAAAAGAUAAUGGAGGCCAGCUGUUUCUGAUCAACUGAGAUUUCUAGAAGUAUUAUUUUCUUUAUUUGUAUUUUCUUAUUUUAUUAGGGCCAUUUCUUUUUUCAGUUUGUUUUUUUGAAUUAUAGGCCAAUACGUUAGAGGCCUGUUCUGUUUUUUCUUAGUUUUGUUUUAGGUCUGCUUAACUGGACUACUAAGCCUAUUUGGCUCUUUUAUUAUAUCUCAGUUGAAAUUUAAAAAAAAAAUACUAUAAAGUAUUAUAAACUUAAACGGAUAGGCCGG